GAAAUGCGAUAAGCAAUGCGAAUUGCAGAACCGUGAGUCAUCAGAUUUUUGAACGCAACUGGCGCCGGUUGGCUCUCCAGCCGGCAUGCUUGUUUCAGUGUCUCUUUAUCUCAUCACCCAGAUCAUAAUGCGAGAGAUGCCCUUCUCUUGCUAAGCAUGAAAGCACUCUGCGCUCUGCGGGCGGCUUCGAUUCGUCGAGGUCCGCACUCAAUGCAGCGGUCACAUUGCUCACAAUGUGAACUCAUUGAGAGCUGAGGCAGUGCAGCGUAAGCUGCUAGUGCUUAGUCACACAAACUUACUUGCAUCUGAAAUCAAGCAGGACCACCCGCUGAACUUAA
rnacentral:misc_RNA from 1 species